rfam:Phaeosphaeria nodorum SN15 scaffold_35, whole genome shotgun sequence.
AGCUCAAUGGCGCAGCGGAAGCGCGCCGGGCUCAUAACCCGGAGGACGAAAGAUCGAAACUUUCUUGAGCUA